rnacentral:rRNA from 1 species
CGCGUAGGCGGUUAAAUAAGUCAGAUGUGGAAGGCCCCGGGCUCAACCUGGGAACUGCAUUUGAAACUGUUUAGCUAGAGUGUGGUAGAGGAGAGUGGAAUUUCAGGUGUAGCGGUGAAAUGCGUAGAUAUCUGAAGGAACAUCAGUGGCGAAGGCGGCUCUCUGGACCAACACUGACGCUGAGGUGCGAAAGCGUGGGUAGCAAACG